UUCUCUGAUCAUCAGUGUGUCUGUGCUUCUGCUUCUGAUCAUCAGUGUGAUUCUGUUAGUGAUCGUGACUCUCUGGAGGAGGCGUCAGUCACACAAUGCUGAUUCCUCAUCCAAAAGAUCUCACUCGACACCAGAAAACAGUGCAGCGGUUUCCCACGCUGGCUGCGAUUACAAGGAGAUUAAAGACGCCCACAAACAAUUACCCACAAACCCCUCUGAUUCUUCUGAACCCACUGGUGACUCUCAGAUAUCUGCUGCGGAUCUGAAUUACGCCGUGGUGAAUUUCCACAAGAAAGCGGACUGUCCUGACAGAGUCAGUUUGAGGAAUAAUCAGGAUUGCAGUGAAUACGCUGCUAUCAAUCAUCUCACUGCCUGACGAGCCAAAGCAGAGAAUGUGUGUCAUAAAUUAAUUUAAAGAUAUGGAUCAUUCACAAUGUACAAAACUAACAUUGAGCACCAAAUGAGACACGGACUGUGUAAACAUUUAAUAUUUAGCAUAUGCAGACUGAU